GACGAACGCUGGCGGCGCGCCUAACACAUGCAAGUCGAACGAGCGAGAGAGAGCUUGCUUUCUCGAGCGAGUGGCGAACGGGUGAGUAACGCGUGAGGAACCUGCCUCAAAGAGGGGGACAACAGUUGGAAACGACUGCUAAUACCGCAUAAGCCCACGGGUCGGCAUCGACCAGAGGGAAAAGGAGCAAUCCGCUUUGAGAUGGCCUCGCGUCCGAUUAGCUAGUUGGUGAGGUAACGGCCCACCAAGGCAACGAUCGGUAGCCGGACUGAGAGGUUGAACGGCCACAUUGGGACUGAGACACGGCCCAGACUCCUACGGGAGGCAGCAGUGGGGAAUAUUGCACAAUGGGGGAAACCCUGAUGCAGCGACGCCGCGUGGAGGAAGAAGGUCUUCGGAUUGUAAACUCCUGUUGUUGGGGAAGAUAAUGACGGUACCCAACAAGGAAGUGACGGCUAACUACGUGCCAGCAGCCGCGGUAAAACGUAGGUCACAAGCGUUGUCCGGAAUUACUGGGUGUAAAGGGAGCGCAGGCGGGAAGACAAGUUGGAAGUGAAAUCUAUGGGCUCAACCCAUAAACUGCUUUCAAAACUGUUUUUCUUGAGUAGUGCAGAGGUAGGCGGAAUUCCCGGUGUAGCGGUGGAAUGCGUAGAUAUCGGGAGGAACACCAGUGGCGAAGGCGGCCUACUGGGCACCAACUGACGCUGAGGCUCGAAAGUGUGGGUAGCAAACAGGAUUAGAUACCCUGGUAGUCCACACCGUAAACGAUGAUUACUAGGUGUUGGAGGAUUGACCCCUUCAGUGCCGCAGUUAACACAAUAAGUAAUCCACCUGGGGAGUACGACCGCAAGGUUGAAACUCAAAGGAAUUGACGGGGGCCCGCACAAGCAGUGGAGUAUGUGGUUUAAUUCGACGCAACGCGAAGAACCUUACCAAGUCUUGACAUCCCUUGACAGACAUAGAAAUAUGUAUUUUCUUCGGAGCAAGGAGACAGGUGGUGCAUGGUUGUCGUCAGCUCGUGUCGUGAGAUGUUGGGUUAAGUCCCGCAACGAGCGCAACCCUUAUGGUCAGUUACUACGCAAGAGGACUCUGGCCAGACUGCCGUUGACAAAACGGAGGAAGGUGGGGAUGACGUCAAAUCAUCAUGCCCUUUAUGACUUGGGCUACACACGUACUACAAUGGCGUUAAACAAAGAGAAGCAAGACCGCGAGGUGGAGCAAAACUCAGAAACAACGUCCCAGUUCGGACUGCAGGCUGCAACUCGCCUGCACGAAGUCGGAAUUGCUAGUAAUCGUGGAUCAGCAUGCCACGGUGAAUACGUUCCCGGGCCU
rnacentral:rRNA from 1 species